GCAUGUCUGUGAUGAAUAAAGUUAUCCCUGUCAGAAAUGAAAUGUUGACCAACUUUUAUCUGAGACUUUA